rnacentral:misc_RNA from 1 species
GGAAGCUCUAGAACUUGAGAGACAGCUCUGUGUUAGUUCAUUGCAGGUCUCGCUCUCAUCAACGCAAUCUCUCUCGAAGCCUCUAACUGUCUUUCUCUCUAUCUUCACCACUACCACCUUCUCAUUAGCAACUUUCCAUCUCUCCUUCCACAUUUUGCAUUUUCAUAUCAGGUUCGUAGCUCUUUCUCAUCUUUAUAUAUGGGCUUAAUUUUAGUUACACGCUUCUUUCUUGUUUCUUUUAUUGCAAUUAUAUUUUGGACAUGCCAUGAAGUAGUGAUCCUUGCUUCUCGUUUUCUUACUUGUUUCUUUAAUCAAAUUAAGUUAAUAACUGCUACUGAAGUAAAUGAGCAUCUCUGAAUUUGGGUUGUUGUUGUUCUUCUUGUUUAUCGUGGAAAGGAUGGCUUCUUCUCAAGCAUAUUUACGUUCUUUUCAGUUGGUGAAAUUCUUUUAUUCCGCCACACUGUUUCCGUUUAGCAAAAUCUUUGAUACGGAUAACUGUAUCAAUAUUUGAAUAUUGAUGGCUUCACAUAUAACGUACGUUAAGCUUUUUUAGAGUUAGUUCUGGAAGGUUAUUUAAUUGAUUUGUUUCUCUGAGUAGAUAGAUUAUAGAUAUAGCUAUACAAAAGCACACAUACUAAAGAAUGAAUUUUUAUUUAGAAAUAUAUAAAAAAAAAUUGAGGCUAGCCUAUGGGAGUUGUCUGUCAAAAGACUAUAGGACUGCAGGGGAUAUUCGGUGUCUUUUAAAAUAUAUACUUAUUAAAUGUUUCAUGGUAAAUUCACCAUGAAACCAUUUACACAUGCUUCAUGAAAGCCUAAUGCAAUUACUAGAUAAUUUAGUAUUCAUUUAACCCCUUUACAUGGUUUGGUUAGGGGUCGCACCAUUUGAUAUGUCUCCAUAGAUUUGGUUAGAAAAACCUUAGAGGUGUUUGUUGAAAUACCCAGGUGAACCAAUUUUACUGUUAUUUGAUGAAUGGGGACUGUGUUCUUCAUGUCCUUGUAGAUUGUUAGUCAUAUUCUCAAUAUAUAUAGGAACACUAUGAUUGCCUGUUGUGGUGGUAUAACCAAGAAAAGGGAUACGACAUUCAUCAGAUGGCUUAGGCAAAUAGACAUCUGGCCUAUUUGGUGGCAUAACGAGAACAGAAUCAAUAGCGAUACAUUUCUUGUCGCAAUUUGACAUUGGAGAUCUAGUUGCAGACAAAAUAUGCUGAAGAUAAUCACACUUUCUUUAAAGUUUCUUAUUGUUUUUGAUUAUGAGCCUUCUUGUAAGCUUGGUCUAGAUAUCUUUUAGUGGAAAUCUUCCAAAGGCUCUGUGGCAAACAUAAUCUGUUCUAAAUAUAUAUAUAGCCAGUGGGAAGUUGUUUCCUUGAUUCCUAAAUGCAUUUUGGUGUAUGGGACAAAACUGUGUGCCCAUGUACACGCUUAUCAUCAUUAGAGCUUAAUCUUGGAGAGGGAACCAUUCCAAGUUUACCUUAUCAUUCAUAUUUUCUUAAUAUAGUUGAACGAGAAGGAUGCUGAGAAAAGAAAGCAAACAGAGUGUCCUGUCUCUCCUAAUGUCAAAAAACAGGAGGAUAGGAAGAGAGAAGUGUACAAAUUUUCUCCUACCAGUAUUAAUUUAUUUAAUUCUGAGAAUCUGGAGUCAAGGUCCCAACUGCAGUUCUGCCUUUCAUGCUUUCCUUUUAUUGAUUUUCAUAACUUAUGGGCCUGAUUUGUUUUUCUUUUAUUAUGAAGUGUCGUAUAAAUUUAUCAUUGCCAUAAAAUUUGUCAAAGUGUAGAAAUGGCCGAACAGCAGUACAUUGUGGUAUCUGAUAGUGAAACCAUCGGAGAGGAGAAAUCUUCUUCUGCUUUUCCUGAAAUUGCGAUUGGAAUUGACAUUGGCACAUCACAGUGCAGUAUAGCAGUCUGGAAUGGCUCCCAGGUAGAACUCCUUAAAAAUACUAGAAACCAAAAGUUGAUGCUAUCAUAUGUCUCUUUCAAGGAAGAUACUCCUUCAGGAGGAGUCAGUAACCAACCGUCCCAUGAGCUCGAAAUGUUUUCUGGAGCUGCAAUCUUCAAUAUGAAACGCCUAAUUGGCAGGGUUGACACUGAUCCAGUUGUUCAGGCAAGCAAAAGACUUCCAUUUUUGGUACAGACUUUGGAUAUUGGUGUCCGCCCAUUUAUUGCAGCCUUGGUAAACAAUGCUUGGAGAUCCAUCACUCCUGAAGAAGUUCUUGCAAUAUUUCUGGUGGAAUUACGAGCCAUGGCUGAAGUUCAGCUGAAGCGGCCUAUAAGAAAUGUUGUUCUUACCAUUCCAGUGUCAUUUAGUAGGUUCCAACUGACCCGGAUUGAACGAGCUUGCGCCAUGGCUGGUCUUCAUGUCCUCAGGCUGAUGCCUGAGCCAACAGCUGUGGCAUUGUUAUAUGCACAGCAGCAGCAACAGACUGUGCAUGAGAAUAUGGGAAGUGGAAGUGAGAAGAACGCCCUCAUCUUCAAUAUGGGUGCUGGAUAUUGUGAUGUAGCUUUGAGUGCUACUGCUGGAGGGGUUUCGCAGAUUAAAGCCUUGGCAGGAGCUGCUAUUGGAGGCGAAGACAUCCUACAGAAUAUGAUGCAGCAUCUAUUGCCAAAAUCAGAAAGCCUUUUCUUGAGCCAUGGCAUCAAUGAGAUCAAAUUGAUGGGAUUGCUUCGAGUUGCAACCCAAGAUGCAAUCCACAGGCUUUCUUCCCAGAACAGUGUUCAGGUUGAUGUGGAUUUGGGAAAUGGGAAAAAGUUAUGCAACAUAAUUACUCGGGAGGAAUUUGAGGAAGUGAACCAUAAGGUGUUUGAAAAGUGUGAGAACCUCAUAAAGCAGUGCUUACAAGACUCAAAAGUAGACAUAGAGGAUUUGACUGAUGUAAUACUUGUAGGGGGAUGCUCAUACAUCCCAAAAAUAAGAAAUAUUGUCAAGGAUAUAUGUAGAGCAGAGGAACUUUACAAAGAAAUGAACCCAUUGGAAGCUGCCGUCUGUGGGGCAGCUCUUGAAGGAGCAGUGGCUUCUGGAAUCAGUGAUCCUUUUGGAAGUUUGGAUCUAUUAACAAUCCAAGCUACUCCUUUAGGCAUUGGGAUAAGAGCUGAUAGAAACAACUUUGUUCCUAUAAUACCUCGAAAUAUGACAAUGCCUGCAAGGAAAGAGCUGUCCUUUACAACCACUCAUGAUAACCAAACAGGAGCACUUAUCCUUGUUUAUGAAGGCGAAGGAAAAACAGUAGAAGAAAAUCAUUUACUGGGCUAUUUCAAGAUUGUUGGAAUUCCCCCAGCACCCAAAGGAGUUCCGGAGAUAAAUGUGUGCAUGGACAUUGAUGCCGCGAAUGUGCUGCGAGUUUUUGCUGGAGUGACGAUGCCAGGGACUGAACUUCCAGUGGCACCUUUUAUGGAAGUAAGGAUGCCUACAGUUGACGAUGGACAUGGUUGGUGCGCUGAAGCGUUGCAUAGGGCUUAUGGGUCUACACUAGACCUAGUUACCGUGCACAAGAAGGUUUAAUUAUGAUGGUGAUCAGAGAAGAAAAUCUAGGAAGAUGAACAGCUUAUAAGAAUGAUAUUAUGUUUACAUAUUUCCAAAAAUGUGUGAGGAAAUAAAACUUGUUAUCUUAACUUUGAUAUAAUGUUCGUUCAUGCUCUAUUUUAAGUGUUAUUCAAAAUUUUACGAGAAAUCUAGUUGGUUGGGAUGUUAGUUAUGUUCUCCCUUCUUUUGAUUGCGUACCAGUGAUGAUGAAAAUUUGUAUUUUAGUGAUUUGCUGUCUUCAACAUUCUGUUAAGGGGAAUUAGUUGAUAAUUACGCCUUUAUUUCUUUCCUUUCAGAAUCUUACAUUGAUUUUCUCAUACUUGGCAAGAAAACUAUGACUACCUGAAAGAUGGCAAGCCUUCAGUGAGACGGGUCAACAAAGGCUGAUGUUUUCUGGACAGAAGUUUCUUUGAUUCCUACCUCGAAAAGUGGCAAAAAUUCAAACUGCAAACUUUAGCUUGUUGAUUUUUCAUUUGGAAUCCAUCUACAAUGAUAUUCGCUAAUAAUUUAAAAUCAUUUUUCUGAGAACAGAAGCUCAUAGCCCUGUUAGUAACAAUCAUCUAGGAUUCACUCUUCUUUUCCCUCUCUUUACUACCUUAAUUCUGCAACAAUAAGACAAUGUCUGUGCACUGGUCGGUAAUCUACAAGUGAAGAUGACACCCUACAUCAGCUUGAUGGAUCAUGUUGUUACCGAUGGCUGCUUUUUAACUCUUCAUGAUCUUUUGCGGGUAAUUUUUAUCCCAUUGUUAAGAAAAGCCAUUAUCAUUUCAAUGCUA